AUUGAACGCUGGCGGCAGGCCUAACACAUGCAAGUCGAGCGGAUGAAGGGAGCUUGCUCCUGGAUUCAGCGGCGGACGGGUGAGUAAUGCCUAGGAAUCUGCCUGGUAGUGGGGGAUAACGUCCGGAAACGGGCGCUAAUACCGCAUACGUCCUGAGGGAGAAAGUGGGGGAUCUUCGGACCUCACGCUAUCAGAUGAGCCUAGGUCGGAUUAGCUAGUUGGUGGGGUAAAGGCCUACCAAGGCGACGAUCCGUAACUGGUCUGAGAGGAUGGUCAGUCACACUGGAACUGAGACACGGUCCAGACGCCUACGGGAGGCAGCAGUGGGGAAUAUUGGGCAAUGGGCGAAAACCUGAUCCAGCCAUGCCGCGUGUGUGAAGAAGGUCUUCGGAUUGUAAAGCACGUUAAGUUGGGAGAAAGGGCAGUAAGUUAAUACCUUGCUGUUUUGACGUUACCAACAGAAUAAGCACCGGCUAACUUCGUG
rnacentral:rRNA from 1 species